GAUGAACGCUAGCGGCAGGCCUAAUACAUGCAAGUCGGACGGGAUUGAGAAGCUUGCUUUUCAUGAGAGUGGCGCACAGGUGCGUAACACGUAUGUAACCUACCUUAUCCAGGGGGAUAGCCUCUCGAAAGAGAGAUUAACACCGUAUAAUAUUAUUGAACAGCAUUGUUUAAUAAUCAAAUAUUAUAGGGAUAAGAUGGGC
rnacentral:rRNA from 1 species